GCCUGGUGUGGUGGCGCAUGCCUGUAAUCCCAACUACUUGGGAGGCUGAGGCAGGAGGAUCGCUUGAGCCUGGGGAGUCGGGGCUGCAGUGAACAAUGACACCACUGCAUUCCAGCCUGGGCGACAGAACGAGACCCUGUCUCCA
rnacentral:SRP_RNA from 2 species